GUCCCGAUGGGGUAGCGGAUAUCCUGAGGGCCUGCGGAGCCCUUGACCCGGGUUCGAUUCCCGGUCGGGACA
rnacentral:tRNA from 2 species